rnacentral:rRNA from 1 species
GUGUCAGCAGCCGCGGUAAUACGUAGGGUGCAAGCGUUGUCCGGAAUUAUUGGGCGUAAAGAGCUCGUAGGCGGUUUGUUGCGUCGGCUGUGAAAACCUGAGGCUCAACCUCAGGCCUGCAGUCGAUACGAGCAGACUAGAGUGUUGCAGGGGAGACUGGAAUUCCUGGUGUAGCGGUGAAAUGCGCAGAUAUCAGGAGGAACACCGGUGGCGAAGGCGGGUCUCUGGGCAACAACUGACGCUGAGGAGCGAAAGCGUGGGGAGCGAACAGGAUUAGAAACCCCAGUAGUCC